UUUGGCCACAGGAUCCUGACAGAAAGCAACUUGAUCUACCUGAUCUUUUGCUUUUGUCACAUCAUUAGGCUCAGUGUUGGAGGAUAUGUGAGGUCAGUGCUGGCCCCGUGAGCCCCUGCAGAGGACCACAGCUCGGCUGCUAACACUAGCUCGGUCCUGUAAAUUAAACGCAAAGUCCAGCCAGAAUGAUCAACAGACUGACAUCUUGAUGCACAUAGGAAGAAAAAAGUAACGAGAAGGACUCAACCUUGGAAAUGGAGAUUUAGUGUAAAUAGAUGCUGCUGAACUCCGAAGGUGUGUGGAGAAGAUUUGAGUGGGCACCUGACCCCAUCCUCCAGACAUCCUCCCAACUCACUGCUCAACCUGGUGGAAAAUUCCUUCUUCCUCUCGCCACUCCCAAGAGCUUCUUCAUUCCACUGGGCCCAGAAAACAAUCACCGUCCACCCAAACUGGCCCCCACAUCCUCCUCGCCGCUGACCAUCUGCAGCGGCCCCACAGCAGAGAGACGUUGAUUUGGAGACUCCAGAUACCUACUUCUCCUGGUGAAGAAAAACUUGGAACCCUGCUGUUAUCUAUUGUCACAUUUUUUGGCAAAGGAUGGGGAAGUUUAGUCCAAGGUGGGGAGAGGCCUGAGAAGUGCUGUUCCUCCAUGCUUGUGUUCUGUCAAUCAACUGGACAAGAUGUAUCCAUGAUCCCCGUUUUCUUCUGCUGCCCUUCCCAGAAUUAAAGGAGAGUGUACAAUUCUGAAGGAACCGAGGGAAAAGAAACCUGCCGAGGUAACUAAAUGAGGCACUGGA